rnacentral:tRNA from 1 species
GGAGUGGUGGCUGAGUUGGCUGAAGGCGCACGAUUGGAAAUCGUGUUUACGUUAAUAGCGUAACGGGAGUUCGAAUCUCCCCCACUCCGCCA